rnacentral:rRNA from 1 species
GGCUCAGAAUCAACGCGGGCGGCGCGCUUAACACAUGCAAGUCGCACGGGAAAGUGGAGCAAUCCAUGAGUAUAGUGGCGUACGGGUGAGUAACACGUGGAUCAUCUACCUCUUAGUGGGGAAUAACCCAGGGAAACCGGGGCUAAUACCGCAUAAGCUCUAGCGAGGAAAGCAGCAAUGCGCUGAGAGAGGAGUCCGCGGCCGAUUAGCUAGUUGGCAGGGUAAAAGCCUACCAAGGCAUAGAUCGGUAGCCGGCCUGAGAGGGCACACGGCCACACUGGCACUGAAACACGGGCCAGACUCCUACGGGAGGCAGCAGUGGGGAAUCUUGCACAAUGGGGGCAACCCUGAUGCAGCGACGCCGCGUGAGCGAUGAAGCCCUUCGGGGUGUAAAGCUCUUUCGGCAGGGAAGAUAAUGACGGUACCUGCAGAAGCAGCUGCGGCUAACUACGUGCCAGCAGCCGCGGUAAUACGUAGGCAGCGAGCGUUGUUCGGAGUUACUGGGCGUAAAGGGUGUGUAGGCGGUUGUUUAAGUUUGGUGUGAAAUCUCCCGGCUUAACUGGGAGGGUGCGCCGAAUACUGAAUAACUAGAGUACGGGAGAGGAAAGUGGAAUUCCUGGUGUAGCGGUGAAAUGCGUAGAUAUCAGGAGGAACACCGGCGGUGUAGACGGCUUUCUGGACCGUAACUGACGCUGAGACACGAAAGCGUGGGUAGCAAACAGGAUUAGAUACCCUGGUAGUCCACGCCCUAAACGAUGCAUAUUUGGUGUGGGCAGUUCAUUCUGUCCGUGCCGGAGCUAACGCGUUAAAUAUGCCGCCUGGGGAGUACAGUCGCAAGGCUGAAACUCAAAUG